rnacentral:rRNA from 1 species
AUGGCUCUCGUGGCGAAGCCGAGCUCCGGCGACCAGGGCGGAGACGCACCGCAUCUCGUCUUCAUCCCGAGCGCCGGCAUGGGCCACCUGCUCCCCUUCUCCCGCUUCAUCGCCGCCCUCGCGAGCCAAGGCAACGUCGACAUCUCCGUCGUGACCGCGCUGCUGAUGGUCUCGCAGGCCGAGGCCGAGCACUUCGCCGCCCUCUUCGCCGCCUUCCCCGCCAUCCGGCGCAUCGACUUCAACCUCCUGCCGCUCGACGAUGCCACCCUCGCCGGCACGGACCCCUUCGUCCUGCGGUGGGAGUCCCUGCGCCGCUCCGCCCAUCUCCUCGGCCCGCUCAUCGCCGGCGCCACGCCACGCGCCUCGGCCGUCGUCACCGACGUCACUCUGGCUUCCCAGGUCAUCCCCAUAGCCAAGAAGGAGCUGCAGCUCCCGUGCCACAUCCUCUUCAGCUCCUGCGCGACCAUGCUGUCCUUCCUCGCCUACUUCCCCACCUAUCUCGACGGCGCCAACGCCGACCACCUCGUCGGCGACGUCGACAUCCCCGGCAUUGGACGCAUCCCGGUCGAUUACCCCCCGAACGUGCUGCGCAACCCCGACAGCCUCUUUACCAAGCAGUUCAUCGCCAACGGCCGCGAGAUCGCCGAGGCAGACGGCAUUCUCCUCAACACGUUUGACGCCUUAGAGCGAGAGGCACUCGCCUCCCUGCGCGACGGCAAGGUCGUUCCCGGGUUCCCUCCGGUGUUCGCAGUCGGCCCGCUUAAGUCGACGAGCACAGAGAAGGAGGCGGUACAUGGCGGCGCCUCUUCAUCCAUCGCCUGGCUCGACGAGCAGCCGGCGCGCUCGGUUGUGUACGUGGCCUUCGGCAACCGCAACGCCGCCGCGCUGGAGCAGAUCCACGAGAUCGGUGCCGGGCUGGAGGCGAGUGGCUGCCGGUUCCUGUGGGUGGUGAAGACGACGGUGGUGGACCGUGAGGACACGGCGGAGCUCAACAACGUGCUGGACGACGGGUUCCUGGUGUUCAUGGUGAACGGGAGCGACAUCGACCCGGAGAACAUCAUCGCCGUCACACUCGAUGAUCUGUCUGAAGAUGAUCGGCGCGAGCUUGAACAAGAGCUUAAGAAAGAGAUGGCCGAGCGACUAAAAUUAAAGUUGACUGGAUACUGCAAGACAAGGAUCGGCGUCGUCAAGAAGGAGUGGGUGGACCAGGAGGCGGUCCUGAGGCACCCGGCCGUGGGGCUGUACGUGAGCCACUGCGGGUGGAACUCGGUGACGGAGUCGGCCGCGUGCGGCGUGCCGAUGCUGGCAUGGAUGAUGACGCUGGGCGACCAGCGCCUGGUGGCAACGGUGAUCAGGAGCGCCGGCUUCGGGCUGUGGCUGGAGCACUGGAGCUGGGACAGCAAGAGCUCGCUGGUGCGCGUGGCGGAGAUAGCGGAGAAGGUGAAGGCGGUGAUGGGCGACGAGGCGAUCUCGGCGAGGGCUAAGGAGGUCGGCCGGGAGGCGACCAAGGCCGUUGCCCCGGGCGGCUCCAGCCACCGGAGCAUGCAGGAAUUCCUUGCCGCGCUCAGGUGA